GGGGCGUAUCUCAGAUGGUAGAGCGCUCGCUUAGCAUGCUAGAGAUACGGGGAUCCAUACCCUGCGCCUCCG